rnacentral:misc_RNA from 1 species
UCAAAACAGCGGACUUCGGUCUUUGCUGCACCCUUGUCUUUUGCGCACCGAAUUGUUUCCUCGGCGGGCUUGCCUGCCGGUUGGACAUUAUCAAACCUUUUGUAGUGCAAUCAGCGUCAGAAAAAUCAUAAUUAUUA